rnacentral:lncRNA from 1 species
CCUCUAUGUUGCUUCAUCAACCCAUAACUAUUUGUGUCCCAGCUACGUCUGCACUGCUCCAUGCAGCUGCCUGUGCUCCAGCUGCAUCCGUGCCACGACACCAUAACCGCGUAUAUCCGAUCGUGUCUCUUUCACAUCCUGUAAUUUCCUGUGUCCCAACUAUGCCUCACACUCCAUCGCUGCCCUUUUGGAUCCUUCGCUCUCUGUAGACCACUCUGAAGCCAUCUCGGAUACACCGCAUCCUGCGGGCUCCUCCAAAACUGUCAAGAGAUCAUCCAUCUCUAAUCUCUUAGCAACUAUAUCAAUGGAAUCCCUCUAUUCUCCUCC